rfam:Phycomyces blakesleeanus NRRL 1555(-) unplaced genomic scaffold PHYBLscaffold_15, whole genome shotgun sequence.
GCUUCUAUGGUCUAGUGGUAUGACACUUGCUUUACACGCAAUUGGUCUCCGGUUCGAACCCGGAUGGAAGCA